rnacentral:rRNA from 1 species
GACAAUAUUCAAGAAGCUCAGAAGGAAGACAAAGAGAUUGCUGAGAUAAGAGAGAGGAUGGGCGAAGGUAAAGCCAAAGGUUUUUGCGAGGAUGAGCACGAUACCUUGUGGUUUGAUGACCGAAUUUAUGUGCCCAACAAUUCGGAGAUCAGGAAGUUGAUACUUCAGGAGGCCCAUGACUCACCAUACUCGAUUCACCCCGGAAACACCAAGAUGUAUCUGGACUUGAAGGAACGUUUCUGGUGGACUGGAAUGAAGAAUGAUAUUGCCGAGUAUGUAGCCGUAUGUGAUGUAUGUCAGAGAGUGAAGGCAGAACAUCAGAAGCCAGCAGGACUGUUACAGCCUAUGCCAAUACCCGAAUGGAAGUGGGACAAACUUGGUGUGGACUUUAUUACCGGAUUACCCAGAACCAAGACAGGAUAUGAUUCUAUAUGGGUAGUUGUGGAUCGAUUGACUAAGGUAGCUCAUUUCAUCCCGGUGAAAACAACAUAUACCAGUGCGAAGUUGGCCAAGAUAUAUAUG